CAGGCUUCAUGCAGAAAAUGCCUGAGGAUGUGAGAAAUGACAUUCUAGAGUAUGGUAUCCGGAAUUCACACUUGUUAACAGUAGCACCAACGGGUAAACAAUCUGCCCCCUACAUUCGUAAGAAAGUAGCGUAAACUUGGCUAUAUGCGGGAAACCCUGGAGUAUCCUUUGCUACCUGUGCCUUGCCAGCAUGAAAAGGUAAAAAUGCAAAGGUGUUGGAAUUGUUCCUUCCUGCCAGACAAUCCGCAGGGAAGUCGUGGCUGACCCCUCAACGACUACACGCCGAGCACCAGUAUAAAUAACUGGUUGAUGAUAUAGUCUGAUCCUUAUAGCGAUAUAAGG
rnacentral:misc_RNA from 1 species